rnacentral:rRNA from 1 species
GUGGGGAAUAUUGGUCAAUGGGCGCAAGCCUGAACCAGCGACGCCGCGUGAGUGAUGAAGGCCUUCGGGUUGUAAAGCUCUGUGGGGAGAGAAGAAAACAUUUAGGGCGAAUAGGCCUAGAUCUUGACGGUAUCUUCUUAGCAAGCACCGGCUAACUCUGUGCCAGCAGCCGCGGUAAGACAGAGGGUGCAAACGUUGCUCGGAAUUACUGGGCGUAAAGCGCGUGUAGGCGGAUCUUUAAGUCGGGCGUGAAAUCCCUGGGCUCAACCCAGGAACUGCACUCGAAACUGAGGACCUUGAGUAAUGGAGAGGAAAGCGGAAUUCCUGGUGUAGAGGUGAAAUUCGUAGAUAUCAGGAGGAACACCGGUGGCGAAGGCGGCUUUCUGGACAUUUACUGACGCUGAGACGCGAAAGCGUGGGGAGCAAACAGGAUUAGAAACCCGUGUAGUCC